UACGGAGGGUGCAAGCGUUAUCCGGAUUCACUGGGUUUAAAGGGUGCGUAGGUGGGCAGGUAAGUCAGUGGUGAAAUCUCCGAGCUUAACUCGGAAACUGCCGUUGAUACUAUUGUCUUGAAUAUUGUGGAGGUGAGCGGAAUAUGUCAUGUAGCGGUGAAAUGCUUAGAUAUGACAUAGAACACCAAUUGCGAAGGCAGCUUACUACACAACGAUUGACGCUGAGGCACGAAAGCGUGGGGUACAAACAGG
rnacentral:rRNA from 1 species